CUAGAUUAUACGUUAAGUUCUGUAUGUUAUUUUGAUGUCAGGAGGUUAUGACGUUGAUUUUAUCCUGAUCUAGAUAACGAUAUUUAUGCUGGAGUAUGUUACAACCAGUUAUCAAUCGAGAUUUUACCAUAUUUCUCCUCUGUUUUAGCCUGAAUUCCCAUGUCGGAGUGAUCGAAAAGGUUUAAAGGUCAUUUUCCCCUAGGAAGGGAUGUACGACUUUCUGAGGUUACAGUUCCGGUUCAGAAUUUUUGUUCGGUUUUGACUGGUCUUCGGAUCGCUACAGAAAGAGGAAGAGAGUGCUACACCUUAUAUACUGAAAGGGGGUGGUUACUGAUUAGUAGCACUGUUGAAUAUGUUAAUGAUAUGCUAUUUUUUUCUCUUUUACAUUCAUUUCUCUAUUCGCUGCUGAG